rnacentral:siRNA from 1 species
UACAUCAUCCUCUCUUCCUUGCCA